rnacentral:rRNA from 1 species
AGCGAACGCUGGCGGUAGGCCUAACACAUGCAAGUCGAACGGCAGCACAGUAAGAGCUUGCUCUUACGGGUGGCGAGUGGCGGACGUGUGAGGAAUACAUCGGAAUCUACUUUUUCGUGGGGGUUAACGUAGGGAAACUUACGCUAAUACCGCAUACGACCUACGGGUGAAAGCAGGGGAUCUUCGGACCUUGCGCGAUUGAAUGAGCCGAUGUCGGAUUAGCUAGUUGGCGGGGUAAAGGCCCACCAAGGCGACGAUCCGUAGCUGGUCUGAGAGGAUGGUCAGCCACACUGGAACUGAAACACGGACCAGACGCCUACGGGAGGCAGCAGUGGGGAAUAUUAGACAGUAGGCGCAAGCCUGAUCCAGCCAUACCGCGUGGGUGAAGAAAGCCUUCGAGUUGUAAAGCCCUUUUGUUGGGAAAGAAAAGCAGCAGGUUAAUACGCCGCUGUUCUGACGGUACCCAAAGAAUAAGCACCGGCUAACUUCGUG